GAUGAACGCUGGCGGCGUGCCUAAUACAUGCAAGUCGAGCGAACGGACGAGAAGCUUGCUUCUCUGAUGUUAGCGGCGGACGGGUGAGUAACACGUGGAUAACCUACCUAUAAGACUGGGAUAACUUCGGGAAACCGGAGCUAAUACCGGAUAAUAUUUUGAACCGCAUGGUUCAAAAGUGAAAGACGGUCUUGCUGUCACUUAUAGAUGGAUCCGCGCUGCAUUAGCUAGUUGGUAAGGUAACGGCUUACCAAGGCAACGAUGCAUAGCCGACCUGAGAGGGUGAUCGGCCACACUGGAACUGAGACACGGUCCAGACUCCUACGGGAGGCAGCAGUAGGGAAUCUUCCGCAAUGGGCGAAAGCCUGACGGAGCAACGCCGCGUGAGUGAUGAAGGUCUUCGGAUCGUAAAACUCUGUUAUUAGGGAAGAACAUAUGUGUAAGUAACUGUGCACAUCUUGACGGUACCUAAUCAGAAAGCCACGGCUAACUACGUGCCAGCAGCCGCGGUAAUACGUAGGUGGCAAGCGUUAUCCGGAAUUAUUGGGCGUAAAGCGCGCGUAGGCGGUUUUUUAAGUCUGAUGUGAAAGCCCACGGCUCAACCGUGGAGGGUCAUUGGAAACUGGAAAACUUGAGUGCAGAAGAGGAAAGUGGAAUUCCAUGUGUAGCGGUGAAAUGCGCAGAGAUAUGGAGGAACACCAGUGGCGAAGGCGACUUUCUGGUCUGUAACUGACGCUGAUGUGCGAAAGCGUGGGGAUCAAACAGGAUUAGAUACCCUGGUAGUCCACGCCAUAAACGAUGAGUGCUAAGUGUUAGGGGGUUUCCGCCCCUUAGUGCUGCAGCUAACGCAUUAAGCACUACGCCUGGGGAGUACGACCGCAAGGGUUG
rnacentral:rRNA from 1 species